rnacentral:misc_RNA from 1 species
UGGUGAACCAGCGGAGGGAUCAUUGCUGGAACUGUGUCCGCAAGGACACAACCCCAGAUACCCUUUGUGAACUUAUUCUUAUAUCGUUGCCUCGGCGUUGAGCUGGGGGCUUCUUUCCAAGGAGCUCUCCCAUGGUCUCUCGGGACGAUGGAGCAAGCCCGCCGGCGGCCCUUCUAAACUCUUGUUUUUAUCACGUAUCUCUUCUGAGUUAUUCAAAACAAAAUGAAUCAAAACUUUCAACAACGGAUCUCUUGGUUCUGG